rnacentral:rRNA from 1 species
AGGGUUUGAUCAUGGCUCAGGAUGAACGCUAGCGGCAGGCUUAACACAUGCAAGUCGAGGGGCAGCAUGUCCAGCAAUGGAUGAUGGCGACCGGCGUAAGGGUGCGUAACGCGUGAGCAACAUGCCCUAUACAGGAGGAUACUCCGGGGAAACCCGGUCUAAUACUCCAUAGUAUUAUUGAGAGGCAUCUCUUAAUAAUUAAAGCUUCGGUGGUAUAGGAUUGGCUCGCGUGACAUUAGCCAGAUGGUGAGGUAACGGCUCACCAUAGCAACGAUGUCUAGGGGUUUUGAGAGGAAGGCCCCCCACACUGGGACUGAGACACGGCCCAGACUCCUACGGGAGGCAGCAGUGAGGAAUAUUGGACAAUGGAUGGAAAUCUGAUCCAGUCAUGCCGCGUGCAGGAAGACUGCCUUAUGGGUUGUAAACUGCUUUUAUACGGGAGCAAUAAGGGUUACGUGUAGCCUGAUGAGAGUACUGUAUGAAUAAGGAUCGGCUAACUCCGUGCCAGCCGCCGCGGUAAUAC